CCUACGGGAGGCAGCAGUGAGGAAUAUUGCGCAAUGGGGGCAACCCUGACGCAGCAACGCCGCGUGAGUGAGGAAGGUUUUCGGACCGUAAAGCUCUGUCGAGCGGGAAGAAAUGUAUCAUGGCUAAUAUCCAUGAUACUUGACGGUACCGCUAAAGGAAGCACCGGCUAACUCCGUGCCAGCAGCCGCGGUAAUACGGGGGGUGCGAGCGUUGUUCGGAAUUAUUGGGCGUAAAGAGCGUGUAGGCGGCUGGAUCAGUCAGAUGUGAAAUCCCUGGGCUUAACCCAGGACGUGCAUUUGAAACUGUCCAGCUUGAGUAGGGGAGAGGAAAGUGGAAUUCCUGGUGUAGAGGUGAAAUUCGUAGAUAUCAGGAGGAACACCGGUGGCGAAGGCGACUUUCUGGCCCUAUACUGACGCUGAGACGCGAGAGCGUGGGUA
rnacentral:rRNA from 1 species